rnacentral:tRNA from 1 species
GGGCGGUUAGCUCAGUUUGGUUAGAGCGUCUGGUUUACACCCAGAAGGUCACAGGUCCGAGUCCUGUACCGCCCA